rnacentral:misc_RNA from 1 species
GAUGAAGAACGUAGCGAAAUGCGAUAAGUAAUGUGAAUUGCAGAAUUCAGUGAAUCAUCGAAUCUUUGAACGCACAUUGCGCCCGCUGGUAUUCCGGCGGGCAUGCCUGUUCGAGCGUCAUUUCAACCCUCAAGCUCUCCGGAGUUUGGUGUUGGGGCGCCUGGGGCUUUUCGACCUCAGGGCCCUCAAGUCCAUCGGCGGGACCGCCAGGACACUGAGCGCAAUAGUAUUAUUUCGCUCGGUAGGAUCUUCCACGGCGGGUCGAUCUGGCCGCUAAACCCCCCAAUUCUCACCAAAGGUUGACCUCGGAUCAGGUAGGAAUACCCGCUGAACUUAAGCAUAUCAAUAAGCGGAGGA